CCUACGGGAGGCAGCAGUGAGGAAUAUUGGUCAAUGGACGAGAGGCUGAACCAGCCAAGCAGCGUGAAGGAUGACUGUCCUAUGGGUUGUAAACUUCUUUUAUAUGGGAACAAAACAGGGUAUGCAUACCCUCUUGUAUGUACCAUAUGAAUAAGGAUCGGCUAACUCCGUGCCAGCAGCCGCGGUAAUACGGAGGAUCCGAGCGUUAUCCGGAUUUAUUGGGUUUAAAGGGAGCGUAGGUGGGUUGUUAAGUCAGUUGUGAAAGUUUGCGGCUCAACCGUAAAAUAGCAGUUGAAACUGGCAGUCUUGAGUACGGGAGAGGUAGGCGGAAUUCGUGGUGUAGCGGUGAAAUGCUUAGAUAUCACGAAGAACUCCGAUUGCGAAGGCAGCUCGCUGGACUGAAACUGACGCUGAUGCUCGAAAGUGUGGGUAUCAAACAGGAUUAGAUACCCGUGUAGUC
rnacentral:rRNA from 1 species